GAUGAACGCUGGCGGUGUGCCUAACACAUGCAAGUCGAACGAAAAGACGGUAAGAUUUUGCUCUUACCGUUAGCGGGGGACGGACGAGUAAGACGUGCAUCACCAUCUUCUUUGUCUUGGGUGAUUACGUGAAACCGCAGAUACUACUAGCGCAUAUGUUGUACGGGUUGGAUCAAUAGAUCUUCACGCCUUUGGUGUUACAUUUAGCUGAUUGCGGACUGCAUUGCUAGUUGGUUAGGUAACGGCCUACCAAGGCAACGAUGCGUAGCCGACCUGAGAGGAUGAUCGGCCACACUGGAACUGAGACACGGUCCAGACUCCUACGGGAGGCAGCAGUAGGGAAUCUUGCGCAAUGGGCGAAAGCCUGACGGAGCAACGCCGCGUGAGUGAAGAAGGUCUUCGGAUCGUAAAGCUCUGUUAUUAGGGAAGAACAGAUGUGGGAGAAACUAUGCACGUCUUGACGGUACCUAAACAGAAAGCCACGGCUAACUACGUG
rnacentral:rRNA from 1 species